rnacentral:rRNA from 1 species
UACGUAGGGUGCGAGCGUUGUCCGGAAUUAUUGGGCGUAAAGGGCUCGUAGGCGGUUUGUCACGUCGGGAGUGAAAACUCAGGGCUUAACCCUGAGCCUGCUUUCGAUACGGGCAGACUAGAGGUAUGCAGGGGAGAACGGAAUUCCUGGUGUAGCGGUGAAAUGCGCAGAUAUCAGGAGGAACACCGGUGGCGAAGGCGGUUCUCUGGGCAUUACCUGACGCUGAGGAGCGAAAGUGUGGGGAGCGAACAGG